AGCGAACGCUGGCGGCAGGUCUAACACAUGCAAGUCGAGCGAACUCUUCGGAGUUAGUGGCGGACGGGUGAGUAACACGUGGGAACGUGCCUUUAGGUUCGGAAUAACUCAGGGAAACUUGUGCUAAUACCGAAUGUGCCCUUCGGGGGAAAGAUUUAUCGCCUUUAGAGCGGCCCGCGUCUGAUUAGCUAGUUGGUGAGGUAAAGGCUCACCAAGGCGACGAUCAGUAGCUGGUCUGAGAGGAUGAUCAGCCACAUUGGGACUGAGACACGGCCCAAACUCCUACGGGAGGCAGCAGUGGGGAAUCUUGCGCAAUGGGCGAAAGCCUGACGCAGCCAUGCCGCGUGAAUGAUGAAGGUCUUAGGAUUGUAAAAUUCUUUCACCGGGGACGAUAAUGACGGUACCCGGAGAAGAAGCCCCGGCUAACUUCGUG
rnacentral:rRNA from 1 species